AGUGAACGCUGGCGGUAGGCCUAACACAUGCAAGUCGAACGGCAGCACAGUAAGAGCUUGCUCUUACGGGUGGCGAGUGGCGGACGGGUGAGGAAUACAUCGGAAUCUACUUUUUCGUGGGGGAUAACGUAGGGAAACUUACGCUAAUACCGCAUACGACCUACGGGUGAAAGCAGGGGAUCUUCGGACCUUGCGCGAUUGAAUGAGCCGAUGUCGGAUUAGCUAGUUGGCGGGGUAAAGGCCCACCAAGGCGACGAUCCGUAGCUGGUCUGAGAGGAUGAUCAGCCACACUGGAACUGAGACACGGUCCAGACUGCUACGGGAGGCAGCAGUGGGGAAUAUUGGACAAUGGGCGCAAGCCUGAUCCAGCCAUACCGCGUGGGUGAAGAAUGCCUUCGGGUUGUAAAGCCCUUUUGUAGGAAAAGAAAAGCAGCAGGUUAAUACCCCGCUGUUCUGACGGUACCCAAAGAAUAAGCACCGGCUAACU
rnacentral:rRNA from 1 species